rnacentral:rRNA from 1 species
GUGGGGAAUAUUGGACAAUGGGCGCAAGCCUGAUCCAGCCAUGCCGCGUGAGUGAUGAAGGCCCUAGGGUUGUAAAGCUCUUUCACCGGAGAAGAUAAUGACGGUAUCCGGAGAAGAAGCCCCGGCUAACUUCGUGCCAGCAGCCGCGGUAAUACGAAGGGGGCUAGCGUUGUUCGGAUUUACUGGGCGUAAAGCGCACGUAGGCGGAUCGUUAAGUCGGGGGUGAAAUCCUGGAGCUCAACUCCAGAACUGCCUUCGAUACUGGCGAUCUUGAGUCCGGAAGAGGUGAGUGGAACUCCUAGUGUAGAGGUGGAAUUCGUAGAUAUUAGGAAGAACACCAGUGGCGAAGGCGGCUCACUGGUCCGGUACUGACGCUGAGGUGCGAAAGCGUGGGGAGCAAACAGGAUUAGAUACCCGAGUAGUCC